rnacentral:rRNA from 1 species
GAUGAACGCUGGCGGCGUGCCUAAUACAUGCAAGUCGAGCGAACAGACGAGGAGCUUGCUCCUCUGACGUUAGCGGCGGACGGGUGAGUAACACGUGGAUAACCUACCUAUAAGACUGGGAUAACUUCGGGAAACCGGAGCUAAUACCGGAUAAUAUAUUGAACCGCAUGGUUCAAUAGUGAAAGACGGUUUUGCUGUCACUUAUAGAUGGAUCCGCGCCGCAUUAGCUAGUUGGUAAGGUAACGGCUUACCAAGGCAACGAUGCGUAGCCGACCUGAGAGGGUGAUGGGCCACACUGAAAGUGAGACACGGUCCAGACUCCGACGGGGGGCAGCAGUGGAGAAUCUUCCGCAAGGGGCGAAAGCCAGGCGGAGCAGCGCCGCGUGAGAGAUGAAGGUCUUCGGAGCGUAAAACUCUUUUAUGAGAGAAAAACAAAUGUGUAAAUAACUAUGCGCGUCUAGACGGCACCAAAACAGAAAGCCGCGGCAAACUACG